rnacentral:rRNA from 1 species
CGCAUCUGUGCAUGCAGCAUAUCAAUAAGCGGAGGAAAAGAAACUAACAAGGAUUCCCCUAGUAACGGCGAGUGAAGCGGGAAGAGCUCAAAUUUGAAAUCUUAAAGGGUUUCCCUUUACGAAUUGUAGUUUAAAGAAGUGUUUUCUGUUGAGGUUUUGGUAAAAGUUCUUUGGAAUAGGACAUCAUAGAGGGUGAGAAUCCCGUAUUUGACCUUUACUUUCAACUUUGCUGAUACACUUUCAAAGAGUCGGAUUGUUUGGGAAUGCAGUCCAAAAUGGGUGGUAAAUUUCAUCUAAAGCUAAAUAUUGGCGAGAGACCGAUAGCGAACAAGUACCGUGAGGGAAAGAUGAAAAGAACUUUGAAAAGAGAGUUAAACAGUACGUGAAAUUGUCAAAAGGGAAGCGUUUGACACCAGUGUUGUUUUUCUGAAAAUCAAUUAAAGAACUGUUUAUGCUAAGUUGUUUAGACUUUAUCAGCUAACUGUUUAGUUUUGAGCUUUUCUUUAAUGCACUUUUCAGUUAACAAGUCAACAUCAAUUUCUUUUGCUGUAAAAAAGCUUGAGGAAGGUGGCUUGAGAUUCGUCUUAAGUGUUUAUAGCCUCUUGCCUAUGCAGUCGGAGAGAUUGAGGUCUGCAGCGUAGAUCCUUCGGGGCUAAAUGCAUUUGUGCUAAGUUAUAGCAUUUUAUAGACAACUUGUUGACUAUGAUUUGUCUUGUAGCUUACUCGCUUAUGUUAUUUUACCUACGCUUAGGAUGUUGACAGCAGUAUAGACUGU